CCUACGGGAGGCAGCAGUGAGGAAUAUUGGUCAAUGGGCGUAAGCCUGAACCAGCCAAGUCGCGUGCGGGAUGAAGGUCCUACGGUUUGUAAACUUCUUUUAUAAGGGAAUAAAGUGCCGGACGUGUACCGUUUUGUAUGUACCUUAUGAAUAAGGAUCGGCUAACUCCGUGCCAGCAGCCGCGGUAAUACGGGGGAUCCGAGCGUUAUCCGGAUGUAUUGGGUUUAAAGGGUGCGUAGGCGGCCUUUUAAGUCAGUGGUGAAAGUUUGUGGCUCAACCAUAGAAUUGCCGUGGAUACUGGCAGGCUUGAGUAUGUUAGAGGCAGGCGGAAUGCGUGGUGUAGCGGUGAAAUGCGUAGAUAUCACGAAGAACCCCGAUUGCGAAGGCAGCCUGC
rnacentral:rRNA from 1 species